UCCUGGGCUACACACACGCUACAAUGGGUGAUACAACAGGUUGCAAUAGAGUAAUCUGGAGCCAAUCCCUAAAAUACAUCCUCAGUACGGAUUGCAGGCUGCAACUGCCUGCAUGAAGUUGGAGUUGCUAGUAACGCAGGUCAGCACACUGCGUUGAAUACGUUCUCGGGCCUU
rnacentral:rRNA from 1 species